GGGGGGGCACCGGUGGGCUGAGCGAGGCUUUAAAGAGACAGGCGCCGGCUUGGAGCAGCAGACCCGGCUAUUGUCUCUCUGUCUUUCUUUCUUUCUCUCUUUCUCUCUCCUCUUCUGCUCUUUCUUUCUUUCUCUGGGAGAGAGGAGGCAGAUCUGCAUCCCCUUGAUCUGCAUCCCUUCCAGCCCUUAAAAGCAGCCCGAUUCACACGCUCCGCGGUUUGUAACACGCGUGGAGCUGGGAUGCCAGAGGCGCCUUUCUUCAUCCAGAGCAGGAGAUGCUCCAGGCGUCAACAUCCUGGGUGCCCAUCGUGCACUGAUCUUCCAAUAGCCAAGCAAAGCAAUAAUGUGACCCAUGCAUUCUUGUGAAAUGCCGAUUAUGCUUGAAAUUCCACCGGAUCCCAUGCAGCUGUGGACAAGUCUACAGAGGGACCACCAAACGCAGCAUUGCCCAAACAAGAGUCAAAGAACAUGAAAGGCACUGCAGACUAAUUCAACCAGAGAAAUCAGCCAUAGCAGAGCACUUGAGGAACCGGCCUGGACACAGUACAGUAGAGCCUCACUUAUCCAAGCCUCGCUUAUCCAAGCUUCUGGAUUAUCCAAGCCUUUUUUGUAGUCAAUUUUUUCAAUAUAUCGUGAUAUUUUGGUGCUAAAUUCAUAAAUACAGUAAUUACAACAUAACAUUACUGCAUAUUGAACUACUUUUUCUGUCAAAUGUGUUGUAUAGCAUGAUGUUUUGGUGCUUAAUUUGUAAAAUCAUAACCUAAUUUGAUGUUUAAUAGGCUUUUCCUUAAUCCCUCCUUAUUAUCCAAGAUAUUCGCUUAUCCAAGGUACUGCCAUCCCGUUUAGCUUGGAUAAGUGAGACACUACUGUAUUAUAUUUAUUAUGUUACUCUAUUUAUUACUACAUGUAUUAUUUUCCUAUAUUAUUUAUUAUUAUUAUUACAUGUAUUAUUUCCCUGUAUUUUUUAUUAUUAUUAUUAUUAUUAUUAUUAUUAUUAUUAUUAUUAUUAUUAUUAUUACAUGUACCAUUUUACUCUAUUAUUAUUAAAAGGAUACAUAAGCACAUUUACAUUGAAGAAAAUGAGAAUAAUGAUUGGAUCAGAGUUGGACAGUCUUAUCUUAAAUUUGAGCUUUAUGUAAAUACUGUAUUCAAAAACAUUUAACCUACUGAUGCCUCAAUUAAUGUGAUUUUAUUGGUAUCUGUUUUUAUUUCUGAAAUUUACCACUCUCGGCUUAUACUGGAGUCAAUGUUUUCCCAGGUUUUUUGUGGUAAAAUUAGUUGCCUCGGCUUAUAUUCGGGUUGGCUUAUACUCGAGUAUAUACAGUAUAUACAGUAUUACGCUAUGUAACAAGAUUUUUAUUCUUGGGUUAUAAAUGUCGUUUCCUGAUUGGUUCUAUUACAAAAACAUAGGAUCAGGUUGUGUAAGUGUUUUAUCUAUAUAUAUAAAAGGGUAAUGGAAUCACGGCACCGGACAAAACAACUCAACUAAACUCCCCACAACAAGAUAUUCGCUUAUCCAAGCUUCUGCCAGCCCGUUUAGCUUGGAUAAGUGAGACCCUACUGUAUAUUAUUUGAGAACAGAGAAAUGCUCAACCACUCCAACAACUAUCAUGUCAGACUACACAGAGAAGCCAUUGAAAUCCACAAGCAUGUGGACAACUUCAACAGAAAGGAGGAAACCAUGAAAAUAAACAAAAUCUGGCUCUAAAAUCAAAACAGUAGAUGGGAACCAACACUCUGAGGGCAGAGGACAGCUAAUGACUGAACAAAGGACGCCCCCAGGCAAGAGACAAAACCUUUCCAAUGCUAAUUAGGGUGAUUAACUGAAACAUUAAUGCUGGCUUCCCAGUGACAAAGGACUCUUGCCACACCCUGGACUCUCCACAGAUAUAUAUAUUCUUUCCUUUCCUUACUUAGUUUCUCCAUACCUCACAACCUCUGAGGAUGCCUGCCAUAGACGUGGGUGAAACAUCAGGAGAGAAUACUCCUGGAACAUGUCCACACAGCCCAAAAGACAUACAACAACCCUGUGAUCCCGGCCAUGAAAGCCUUCGACAAAACAAAAAGCGCCCUUCCCAAUAAGCUCCAAAAUCUAAAACUCUCUUGGGCCAUAAUGGUACCAUUUGGACUCCACCUGAAAGCAUAUUAAGUCACCAAAUACAGCUGGCAGAGAAGAAGGAAAAGGGAUCUCUGGCAGUUCAGCUGAGUGGAUAAUACAUUUUUUAGUAAAAAGCUAAGGAGCAGUCUGUCUG